GAACGCUGGCGGCAUACUUACACAUGCAAGUCGAACGGCAGCACGGGUGCUUGCACCUGGUGGCGAGUGGCGAACGGGUGAGUAAUACAUCGGAACAUGUCCUGUAGUGGGGGAUAGCCCGGCGAAAGCCGGAUUAAUACCGCAUACGAUCUAUGGAUGAAAGCGGGGGACCUUCGGGCCUCGCGCUAUAGGGUUGGCCGAUGGCUGAUUAGCUAGUUGGUGGGGUAAAGGCCUACCAAGGCGACGAUCAGUAGCUGGUCUGAGAGGACGACCAGCCACACUGGGACUGAGACACGGCCCAGACUCCUACGGGAGGCAGCAGUGGGGAAUUUUGGACAAUGGGCGAAAGCCUGAUCCAGCAAUGCCGCGUGUGUGAAGAAGGCCUUCGGGUUGUGAAGCACUUUUGUCCGGAAAGAAAUCCUUGGUUCUAAUAUAGCCGGGGGAUGACGGUACCGGAAGAAUAAGCACCGGCUAACUACGUGCCAGCAGCCGCGGUAAUACGUAGGGUGCGAGCGUUAAUCGGAAUUACUGGGCGUAAAGCGUGCGCAGGCGGUUUGCUAAGACCGAUGUGAAAUCCCCGGGCUCAACCUGGGAACUGCAUUGGUGACUGGCAGGCUAGAGUAUGGCAGAGGGGGGUAGAAUUCCACGUGUAGCAGUGAAAUGCGUAGAGAUGUGGAGGAAUACCGAUGGCGAAGGCAGCCCCCUGGGCCAAUA
rnacentral:rRNA from 1 species